GUAGUCUGCAACCCGACCUGCAUGAAGCUGGAAUCGCUAGUAAUCGCGAAUCAGAAUGUCGCGGUGAAUACGUUCCCGGGUCUUGUACACACCGCCCGUCACACCAUGGGAGUCGGAAAUGCCCGAAGUCAGUGACCUAACCGAAAGGGAGGAGCUGCCGAAGGUGGAGCCGGUAACUGGGGUGAAGUCGUAACAAGGUACC
rnacentral:rRNA from 1 species